AGGGUUUGAUCCUGGCUCAGGACGAACGCUGGCGGCGCGCCUAACACAUGCAAGUCGAGCGAGAACCCGAGGAGGGGUAACCCUUCUCGGGGGAGAGCGGCGAACGGGUGAGUACCACGUGGGCAACCUGCCCCAGACUCUGGGAUAACCCCGGGAAACCGGAGCUAAUACCGGAUACUCUCGGCGGACCGCAUGAUCUGCCGAGGAAAGCUCUUGCGGUCUGGGAUGGGCCCGCGGCCUAUCAGCUUGUUGGUGAGGUAACGGCCCACCAAGGCGACGACGGGUAGCUGGUCUGAGAGGACGGCCAACCACACUGGGACUGAGACACGGCCCAGACUCCUACGGGAGGCAGCAGUGGGGAAUCUUGCGCAAUGGGCGAAAGCCUGACGCAGCGACGCCGCGUGGGGGAUGAAGGCCUUCGGGUUGUAAACCCCUUUCGGCAGGGACGAAGCCGCAAGGUGACGGUACCUGCAGAAGAAGCUCCGGCUAACUACGUGCCAGCAGCCGCGGUAAGACGUAGGGAGCGAGCGUUGUCCGGAUUCAUUGGGCGUAAAGAGCGCGUAGGCGGCCGUGCAAGUCGGUUGUGAAAUCCCGGGGCUCAACCCCGGGACUGCGUCCGAUACUGCACGGCUCGAGGCAGGUAGGGGAGAGUGGAAUUCCCGGUGUAGCGGUGAAAUGCGCAGAUAUCGGGAGGAACACCGGUGGCGAAGGCGGCUCUCUGGACCUGUCCUGACGCUGAGGCGCGAAAGCUAGGGGAGCGAACAGGAUUAGAUACCCUGGUAGUCCUAGCCGUAAACGUUGGGUGCUAGGUGUGGGCGGAUAUCGACCCCGUCCGUGCCGAAGCUAACGCAUUAAGCACCCCGCCUGGGGAGUACGGCCGCAAGG
rnacentral:rRNA from 1 species